UGCUCAGGUGAAAUACGCCGAAGGCAAUGAUUAUGUUUGGAUUUUGGAAUGAACUGUUAAUUAGAUUUAAAUAGGCUUUUACUCUGGAAGCUGAAGCCAAUGAUUCUAGCAAGAAAUGAUCAUAUGAAAGACCAAAUCCCAGAAAAGUUGCUGUGUUUACCAUUACCAAUAGGGGCCAGCAUUGUUACAUCAAGCUAUAAGUUUUCUCCGCUGGCAUCUGCUAAGUGUUGAAAGCCAGCACAGAGCGGCUGGAUGGCACACACUCAGCUACAGCUCAGACUGAUAAGGGAAUACACCAGACUCAGUCCGGUACUUUCUGUUGGAGUACACACAAACUGGUUUUGACUGGAGUGGAUGGAGGAGAAGGUUGUGUGAAAGGAGGAAAGAGAGAGGGUUCAGGCAUCUAAUAGGGAAGAAAACUAGAGAUGGGGGAGGAAAAACAUCGGGAAGUGAUGCUAAAGUGGAAAUGAUGAGAGGAAAGACAUAUAUACAUAGGGUAGGUGAAAUUAAGAAAUGGGGCAAUACAAUAUAGGAUAAUGUUGGAGAUGUAAGACAAAAUAGGGAUUCAGAGAAAGAGAAGAACUUAAAAACAGAAACUUUGAGAAAUAAUGAAGGAAAAUUAGAGAUCAUAAAUCUUUAAAGAUGAUGAGGUUAACCUUUUCUCCUUGUUUCUCUCCUCCCUCCUUUGUUUUCAGCUCCAUUUCUUCCCUUGCUUUCUCUUUUCCCACAUUCCCUUUAUCUCAUCCUCUCCUCUUCCCCUUUUCUUCACACGUUUUCAUUGACUUUCUUCCUCUUUUUUCGUGCCUUUUCAAUCUUCCUCUUUUCGCCUUCCUGCAAACCCACUCUCUCAGUGCGCUGGAGGUAGACAGUAAUGAGAGGAGUGACAGAUUGCAGCAAGUUAUCUGCUUCCUAAUGCUACUUACAUGGGGACAGCUUGCCAUGUUCCCUCGAUGAAGAGAUGGAAAAAUAGGGAGACAGAGAGGAGGGAGAAGGAGAGCUUACCAUUCUUCCUCCAACUUCCUUGGAUUUCGUUCUUUCUUUUCUGUUUGCAUGUCUUUUUCCAAACUUUCUUCCUGGUCAUUCUUCUUUUUUGUACCAGGAAUUGAGAGAUGCAUUAAAAGAUUGAUAGGUAUCAUUUUGCGGAACCUAGAAAGUAUCAUACAAGUUGUAUAGAUUGAAUUAAUGCUGCUGUUCCAUCAUUCAUCUUACUUAGUGGCACAUAGAAAUUGGUCAGUUUAAAACUUUGUUUGUUGUAUAUUUGCUACUAUGACAAUUCAGUUUCCCUCUGGGAUUAAUAAAGUUUCUCUGAUUCUGAUUAAAAGUAUUUCUG